AGGAAAGUAUGGGGAGGGAGCUAAACCGGAGACAUUCACUUUUGCCUUAACUCUGGUCUUCAUCCAAUGUGUGAUCAAUGCUGUGUUUGCCAAGAUCUUGAUCCAGUUUUUUGACACUGCGAGGGUGGAUCGCACUCGGAGCUGGCUCUAUGCUGCCUGCUCGGUCUCCUAUCUGGGUGCCAUGGUCUCCAGCAACUCAGCACUACAGUUUGUCAACUAUCCGACUCAGGUCCUUGGUAAAUCCUGCAAGCCAAUCCCAGGUAAGCAGAAGAAGAUGGUCCCCAUCUACCGUCCUCACUCUUCCUGUAGGAAGCCCUCUACUCCUCUGCUAGAGCCGUGUAUUCCUUUGGAUUCGUCAUCCCAUCUCGGCUCUCUUGAGAGUCGCCCCUCCGUCCCUUCCUGCUGCCAUCCUGUCACCCGUAUCACUUCCUGUGGCGUUGGGGGUGCAUGAGCUAGAGGCUGACCUAGUCUGCUUCUCGUGCCGGUCAUUUUGGCGUCCCGUGUGUUUACGUGGUCAUUAGACACCCUAAAUCCUAUUUUGGGGGCGCCUGGGUGGCUCAGUCGGUUAAACGUCCCGACUUCAGCUCGGGUCAUGAUCUCGUGGUC